GAUGAAGAACGCAGCGAACUGCGAUAAGUAAUGUGAAUUGCAGAAUUCAGUGAAUCAUCGAGUCUUUGAACGCACAUUGCGCCCCCUGACAUUCCGGGGGGCAUGCCUGUCCGAGCGUCAUUGCUGCCCUUCAAGCCCGGCUUGUGUGUUGGGUCGUCGUCCCCCCCGGGGGACGGGCCCGAAAGGCAGCGGCGGCACCGCGUCCGGUCCUCGAGCGUAUGGGGCUUUGUCACCCGCUCGAUUAGGGCCGGCCGGGCGCCAGCCGGCGUCUCCAACCUUCUAUUUUACCAGGUUGACCUCGGAUCAGGUAGGGAUACCCGCUGAACUUAAGCAUAUCAAUAAGCGGAGGA
rnacentral:misc_RNA from 1 species